GACGAACCGAGCGAACGUUGUUCGGAAUCACUGGGCUUAAAGGGCGCGUAGGCGGGCUGUCAAGUUUGGGGUGAAAUCCCGCGGCUCAACCGUGGAACUGCCUCAAAUACUGACGGUCUCGAGGGAGGUAGGGGCGAGCGGAACUGAUGGUGGAGCGGUGAAAUGCGUUGAUAUCAUCAGGAACUCCGGUGGCGAAGGCGGCUCGCUGGACCUCUUCUGACGCUGAGGCGCGAAAGCUAGGGGAGCAAACGGG
rnacentral:rRNA from 1 species